GGGCAGUUAGCUCAGCCGGUUAGAGCGUCUGAUUUACAUUCAGAAGGUCGGAGGUUCGAUUCCUCCACUGCCCA
rnacentral:tRNA from 1 species